UAAAGGUUUGGUCCUGGCCUUCCUAUUAGCCCUUAACAAACUUACACAUGCAAGCCUCUUCAUACCAGUGAAAAUGCCCUGUAGACCAUAAACUGAUCAAAAGGAGCGGGUAUCAAGCACGCUAAUGAGCAGCUCAUAACACCUUGCUCAACCACACCCCCACGGGAUACAGCAGUGAUAAAAAUUAAGCAAUGAACGAAAGUUCGACUAAGUUAUGUUAACAAAGGAUUGGUAAAUUUCGUGCCAGCCACCGCGGUCAUACGAUUAAUCCCAGUUAAUAGGCAAACGGCGUAAAACGUGUUAAAGAUAUUAAUUCAACUAAAGUUAAAAUUUAAUUAAGCCGUAAAAAGCUAUUGUUAAUAUAAAAUAAACUACGAAAGUGACUUUAAUAAUUCUGACCACACGACAGCUAAGAUCCAAACUGGGAUUAGAUACCCCACUAUGCUUAGCCGUAAACACAAACAAUUAGUAUAACAAAACUGUUCGCCAGAGAACUACUAGCAACAGCCUGAAACUCAAAGGACUUGGCGGUGCUUUAUAUCCCUCUAGAGGAGCCUGUUCUAUAAUCGAUAAACCCCGAUAAACCUCACCGUUCCUAGCUAAUCCAGUCUAUAUACCGCCAUCUUCAGCAAACCCUUAAAAGGAAUACAAGUAAGCACAAUCAUGAGACAUAAAAAAGUUAGGUCAAGGUGUAACCCAUGGAACGGGAAGAAAUGGGCUACAUUUUCUUAACAAGAAUACCUACGAAAGACUUUAUGAAACUAAAGACCGAAGGAGGAUUUAGCAGUAAAUUAAGAAUAGAGAGCUUAAUUGAAAGGGGCCAUGAAGCACGCACACACCGCCCGUCACCCUCCUCAAGUAAUAUCACCAAAAAUAUAAUAUAUUAAUAACUACUUCACACAAGAGGAGACAAGUCGUAACAAGGUAAGCGUACUGGAAAGUGCGCUUGGAUUAA
rnacentral:ncRNA from 1 species